rnacentral:rRNA from 1 species
GACGAACGCUGGCGGCGUGCUUUACACAUGCAAGUCGAACGGUGAAGGUGGAGCUUGCUCCGCCGGAUCAGUGGCGAACGGGUGAGUAACACGUGGGCAACCUGCCCCUAACUUUGGGAUAACUACUCGAAAGAGUAGCUAAUACCGGAUAUGAAGUCUGUAGGCAUCUAUGGAUUUGGAAAGUUUUUCGGUUAGGGAUGGGCCCGCGGCCUAUCAGCUUGCUGGUGAGGUAGUGGCUCACCAAGGCGACGACGGGUAGCCGGCCUGAGAGGGCGACCGGCCACACUGGGACGGAGACACGGCCCAAACUCCUACGGGAGGCAGCAGUGGGGAAUAUUGGACAAUGGGCGCAAGCCUGAUCCAGCCAUGCCGCGUGAGUGAUGAAGGCCUUAGGGUUGUAAAGCUCUUUCGUCCGGGACGAUAAUGACGGUACCGGAAGAAGAAGCCCCGGCUAACUUCGUGCCAGCCGCCGCCGUAA